rnacentral:siRNA from 1 species
ACGGUCAUAGUCCCUCUAGAAGCC